rnacentral:rRNA from 1 species
UUAGCGGAUGACUUGUGGCUGGGGGUGAAAGGCCAAUCAAACCGGGAGAUAGCUGGUUCUCCCCGAAAGCUAUUUAGGUAGCGCCUCGUGAAUUCAUCUCCGGGGGUAGAGCACUGUUUCGGCAAGGGGGUCAUCCCGACUUACCAACCCGAUGCAAACUGCGAAUACCGGAGAAUGUUAUCACGGGAGACACACGGCGGGUGCUAACGUCCGUCGUGAAGAGGGAAACAACCCAGACCGCCAGCUAAGGUCCCAAAGUCAUGGUUAAGUGGGAAACGAUGUGGGAAGGCCCAGACAGCCAGGAUGUUGGCUUAGAAGCAGCCAUCAUUUAAAGAAAGCGUAAUAGCUCACUGGUCGAGUCGGCCUGCGCGGAAGAUGUAACGGGGCUAAACCAUGCACCGAAGCUGCGGCAGCGACGCUGAUGCGUUGUUGGGUAGGGGAGCGUUCUGUAAGCCUGCGAAGGUGUGCUGUGAGGCAUGCUGGAGGUAUCAGAAGUGCGAAUGCUGACAUAAGUAACGAUAAAGCGGGUGAAAAGCCCGCUCGCCGGAAGACCAAGGGUUCCUGUCCAACGUUAAUCGGGGCAGGGUGAGUCGACCCCUAAGGCGAGGCCGAAAGGCGUAGUCGAUGGGAAACAGGUUAAUAUUCCUGUACUUGGUGUUACUGCGAAGGGGGGACGGAGAAGGCUAUGUUGGCCGGGCGACGGUUGUCCCGGUUUAAGCGUGUAGGCUGGUUUUCCAGGCAAAUCCGGAAAAUCAAGGCU